GAUGAACGCUGGCGGCGUGCCUAAUACAUGCAAGUCGAGCGAAUGGAUUAAGAGCAUGCUCUUAUGAAGUUAGCGGCGGACGGGUGAGUGACACGUGGGUAACCUGCCCAUAAGACUGGGAUAACUCCGGGAAACCGGGGCUAAUACCGGAUAAUAUUUUGAACUGCAUGGUUCAAAACUGAAAGGCGGCUUCGGCUGUCACUUAUGGAUGGACCCGCGUCGCAUUAGUUAGUUGGUGAGGUAACGGCUCACCAAGGCAACGAUGCGUAGCCGACCGGAGAGGGUGAUCGGCCACACUGGGACUGGGACACGGCCCAGACUCCUACGGGAGGCAGCAGUAGGGAAUCUUCCGCAAUGGACGAAAGUCUGACGGAGCAACGCCGCGUGAGUGAUGAAGGCUUUCGGGUCGUAAAACUCUGUUGUUAGGGAAGAACAAGUGCUAGUUGAAUAAGCUGGCACCUUGACGGUACCUAACCAGAAAGCCACGGCUAACUACGUGCCAGCCGCCGCAGUAA
rnacentral:rRNA from 1 species